GAUGAAGAACGUAGCGAAAUGCGAUAAGUAGUGUGAAUUGCAGAAUUCAGUGAAUCAUCGAAUCUUUGAACGCACAUUGCGCCCCUUGGUAUUCCAUGGGGCAUGCCUGUUCGAGCGUCAUUUGUACCUUCAAGCUCUGCUUGGUGUUGGGUGUUUGUCUCGCCUUGCGCGUAGACUCGCCUUAAAACAAUUGGCAGCCGGCGUAUUGAUUUCGGAGCGCAGUACAUCUCGCGCUUUGCACUCAUAACGACGACGUCCAAAAGUACUUUUUACACUCUUGACCUCGGAUCAGGUAGGGAUACCCGCUGAACUUAAGCAUAUCUAAGCGGAGGA
rnacentral:misc_RNA from 1 species